UAGGGAAUAUUGGACAAUGGGUGAGAGCCUGAUCCAGCCAUGCCGCGUGCAGGAAGAAGGCGUUAUGCGUUGUAAACUGCUUUUUGCCAGGGGAUAAAAUGACCGUGCGCGGUUAAUUGAAGGUACCUGGUGAAUAAGCCACGGCUAACUACGUGCCAGCAGCCGCGGUAAUACGUAGGUGGCAAGCGUUGUCCGGAUUUAUUGGGUUUAAAGGGUGCGUAGGUGGCUAACUAAGUCAGUGGUGAAAUAUCUCAGCUUAACUGAGAGGGUGCCAUUGAUACUGGAUAGCUUGAGUACAGAUGAGGUAGGCGGAAUUGACGGUGUAGCGGUGAAAUGCAUAGAUAUCGUCAAGAACACCGAUAGCGAAGGCAGCUUACCAAGCUGUAACUGACACUGAGGCACGAAAGUGUGGGGAUCAAACAGGAUUAGAUACCCUCGUAGUCCCUGAGCGGGCUGGCAAGGCGCAU
rnacentral:rRNA from 1 species